UAGGGAAUAUUAGUAAUGGGCGAAAGCCUGAACUAGCAACGCCGCGUGUGCGAAGAAGGCCUUCGGGUUGUAAAGCACUUUUUGAGAGGAUGAGGAAGGACGGUACUCUCAGAAUAAGUCUCGGCUAACUACGUGCCAGCAGCCGCGGUAACACGUAGGAGGCGAACGUUAUCCGGAUUUACUGGGCGUAAAGCGCGUGUAGGUGGUUUGGUAAGUAGGGCGUGAAAGCUCCUGGCUCAACUGGGAGAGGCCGUUCUAAACUGCCGAACUAGAGGAUGGUAGAGGGAGGUGGAAUUCCGGGUGUAGCGGUGGAAUGCGCAGAUAUCCGGAGGAACACCAGUGGCGAAAGCGGCCUCCUGGACCACUCCUGACACUCAGACGCGAAAGCUAGGG
rnacentral:rRNA from 1 species